UUCACUACUGUAGAAUUUCUCUAGCUUCUUCAUGUAGGCAUUUAAUGCUAUGACAUUUCCUGUCAUCACCGCAUUCAUUGUGUCCCCUGAGUUUGGAUUGGUACAGGUGGAGCCUGUGCUUCAGGGGAUCCCUUUUCCUCCAAUUGAUGUAGCUGGAGGCUGUGGCUCCAUUCAGUGCUCCUUCAGAUGUAUGCAGGGUUGAGCUUCUCGUGAUUGUUUCUCCAGGUCUAAAUUCCUCCUACUACCUACUCCUCUGCCCAGAAGUUCUGCAUAAACCACCUCCCUCACCAUUGGUCAUUCAGCUUUUCAUCAGAAGAAACAGGUUCCUUAUGCAGUCAAGGAAAUCAUGACCAUGCCAAACAGCAAAUUUUGAAGUCUCUAAAAGGAUGAUGAGGCCCCACAAUCCCACCAGAACUAUGACAACACUACCAUCUAAAGAUCAGCUUUGGAGCACAAACUGCUCAGGACAACUUCAAGGUGAUUAAUUGAGAUGGUCCAGCCUCACAGACUACUCCAACCAGAACUUGUGAUAAGCCUUGCACUUUCCCUUUACACAGAGACUGGACAACAAAUGAUACAGCUAGCUCUCCCAAGACUUGAAAAUUAUCCCAGUUUUUUUCGGGGUGCUUUAAAGACAGUAUCACCCCAGACACUGGAAAUAAGUAAAAAGAAAGUGUAUUGUAAGCAACUCCAACCCUCUAGAAUUGACAGAGACAUCUCACUACCUGGACAGUCACCCAAAGUUCUUCUGUAAUGUUGGUGCAUCUAUCUUCUACCUAUAAUCUUAGCAUAUCUGACAGACUUUUCUGUGAAGCAGGGUAUUUGAAGAUCUGCCCUGCCUUGUACUGGCAAAAUUCAUCAGUUGCUUUCUUCUGUGUCCUGCAGAAUGUCUGGCAGUUCUUUCUGUGAAGCAAGAACUCUGGAGGACCAUCUAGUCUUCUGGAACAUUCAGGAGUCAAUUUUUAUGCAGCCUGCCUGUCCAGUUCACACUGCAUGCUAUCAAGCAGUCAAGGCAAGAGCAGUUUCUUGUACAAAUGGCUAGUCUCAUUACAUUGAAUGCAAAUUCCAUAACAAGUUUCUUUGAUGCUUAUCAGCCUCUCUGAAGUAAUUAGUGCUUCUCCUCUUACUGUUGAGAAAAGCCUAAGUUCUUAAAAUAUUUUAAAUGCCAUAUUCUGUAGGUCUUUGAGAGGUUUGAAUACCCAUCCAUCUGAAAUAUAUUUCUGUACAUCUACAAACAACAAUCUAUACAACAUGACUACAAGUUUGACUAUUAGAGAUGAUUGUCUAUUAAUCCACAACUUUUAAUGAUACAUUACAUUUUUAAAUGAGAUAAUACCUUAAAAAUAAUACCUUAAAUAAGAGUAGAAAUAUACAUAUAAUGAAACUGAGCAGGUUAAAGUUAGUAAUAUAUAAUAUAUAUAUGUAUAUGUAUAAGUAUAUACAUAUAUGUAUGUAACAACAGUAUUGAAAAAGGAGGUCACGAGUAUGAAUGACAGCAAGACCGGGUAAGUGGAGGGUUUGUAGGCAAAGAAGGAAAGGGGUAGAUGAUGUGAUUAUGCAAUAAUAUUAAAAAUAGUAACAUUAAUAAAAAUUAAAUUCACUUAAUAAAACCAACAAUAUAUGAAGAAUUUAAAAAAAAUUAUCUGGUCUGUUGUUUGUCUCAUUUAGAUGAUUUAUUUCUUAUAAACUGCUUGGUGAAAGAAAUGGUGGAAUAUAUAUUCAAUUUCAAGGAUGUUUAAUGAAUUUUAAUAGAAAUAAUAUGCCAUAGAAAGUGAAUGGAAUCUACACUGACUAAAAAUAAAAACAAUAUAGUAGGGAAAAUUGACCUUAAAUUUGUAUCAAUAAACCAAAGUUCAUACCAAUGUAAAGUAUUCAUCUCUAUAUCAUAUCCCCCUUUUUUUUCUUUUGUAAAGACUCUGACUAUAACCAUUAAUCAUUUACAAUCAAACCCCUUUAAAAUAAAAACAAGUAUUUAUAAACAAUAUUUGGGAAUUUGGGAAUAGUUUUUUAGACUACUUCCUACUUCCUGGGGGUGCUGUUAAUCAGGUCUUUCAUAGGGUAUCCUGUGUGGCUGAUCCAUCUCAGCAGCAGUCCUAAAGCUGUCAUGGAUGUUGGACCAUCUGGGCCAUUGCUUCAAGGGGUCUUGUUUGAUCAAACAAUAUUAGCCAAUAAGGAAUCCACACCUUUCAUAUCCUCUGUGGAAACAAAAGCAGAACCUCUCUUCCAAAGUAACAUGUCCUUAGACUUAAAUUUUGAU